rnacentral:rRNA from 1 species
CCUACGGGUGAUAGCAGUGAGGAAUAUUGGUCAAUGGGCGUAAGCCUGAACCAGCCAAGUCGCGUGAGGGAUGAAGGUUCUAUGGAUCGUAAACCUCUUUUAUAAGGGAAUAAAGUGUGGGACGUGUCCUGUUUUGUAUGUACCUUAUGAAUAAGGAUCGGCUAACUCCGUGCCAGCAGCCGCGGUAAUACGGAGGAUCCGAGCGUUAUCCGGAUUUAUUGGGUUUAAAGGGUGCGUAGGUGGGCUUUUAAGUCAGUGGUGAAAGUCUGUGGCUCAACCAUAAAAUUGCCGUUGAUACUGGGAGUCUUGAGUAUGUUUGAGGCAGGCGGAAUGCGUGGUGUAGCGGUGAAAUGCUUAGAUAUCACGCAGAACCCCGAUUGCGAAGGCAGCCUACCAAGCCAUGACUGACGCUGAUGCACGAAAGCGUGGGGAUCAAACAGGAUUAGAUACCCCAGUAGUC